CAAAAGUUGGGACGUGUUGAGUCUUGCGAGCCGAGAGCCUCCGAAUGGGCGGAAAGUUUUAUAAUAAAACAAAAAAAGUAUUUUUGUGUGUGUGUGUGUUCUGUAGUGAUACAGUAACAGCCGUCUGGAGUUGAAAGUGAACAGUGAAACCGGACACCUGGUUAUUUUCUUUUCUUUUCCUCUCUCCACCCCUCUCCUGCCUUCUUCUCCUUCUCCCCUUCUUCUCGUUCUCCUCCUCACAAAAAGCCGUCAAAUUCCUCCAGGCUUUGUUCAUGGCGAACUCGCCAUGAAGAGUUUUCUUCUCCCUUCAAGACAAAAGCUGCGGAGGUUUGAAACGCCUCGGAUUAUAAAACGAAAAGAAAGUCGAGAGGAAAAUUCGGAUUUGUGGAGACCCAGAAAGGAAGAAGGAUAAAAAAAAGUAACAUCUGUGGAAAACGAGACUAUGAGAGCGUCGCCUCGGCUCUGACGUAACGUGUUUGUUUCUUGCAGGAGAUGGAGGGCGACAAGGAGCGGGAGAGGGAGAGAGGAGAGGAGAAAGAGAGCGACGAGACGGAGGAGGACACGGAAGGCGCGGCGCUGGAGUGGCAGGACAGCUACCAUGAGGACGACCUGGGCUUACCCAUCAUGCACUGGGAGGCCCUGAACCUGCGGAUCGCUGAGCUUGAGAAGCAAGAGGAGGAGCGGAAACAGAGGGACAAGGACGUAGGUCACCUGUUGUCAGGAUGGACCACAGAUCAAGACCCUGGCAGUCACAGGGAUACCUGGGAGGAUGGCGGGGAUGACGGCAACAGCCGUCUAACACUUCUAACGUCACGGUUUCGAAAUCAUACAAAUCUGCAGCUCUGCUUCAUCAACAAUAGUGAGAGUGAGGAUGAGGAAGAUGCACAAGACACCAAAAAGGAGGCUGGUGCAAAGUCGGGGAAAAGUGCAGCAAGAGCCUCAGCAACUGGCAAAACGGAGAAACCAAAAUCCACAGGUUUCAGGAGGGAGGUGAAGGCAGCUCUGAGCGCGCUCAGAAACAAAUUAUGGACCGAACAGAAAAAGAAGAGCGCACCUCUCUGUAGACCCGUGGCUAAGAAACUUGAGCGCAGCGAGCUGCAGGAACUGAGUAUGAAAGAACUGAGAGCGCUACACACUUCCCUCGGAAAAGACAUUCAAGACCUCAGCUCAGAGCUGGUUGGCCGGCUGCUGACUCGAGACCAGCUGAGGACCGAGCAGGAUGCCAUGCUGCUGGAGGUACAGGACAUGAUGUCACUCUGACACUGUCAACAGUCGUCACGCCGUGAAAGGGACUGCUGUGAUGUCACUGUCGCCAAGGGACCUGGGAAGUGCCGCUGGAAAGAAGGGAAUGUUACUGUGAAAGCCACGUCUGUCCUUCAGCUUGGACCGAUUGCACGGAACCCUUUACGUUUGUGACCGACCCCGAGGGACUAACAAGCUGCAAAUGCUGCCGUUCUUUAUCAAAACAGACUUUUUUUCUGUUUUUGCCAUAUUUGUAUUAUUUUAAUAACCUCAUGCAUGAUAAUUUGACCUAUCAUGUCAUUAAUUUGACCAUUCAUGUCAAAGCAAAAAUUGUUUACAAGUUAUUUUUCUUUGGUUUACACUCAUCCAAGGUCUUCUGUUACUGUUGGAUUCGACAAAAGGGAACAUUGUGUGUUAUAAAGAGAACACUUGGAACCUCUCUGAAAAUCACUGUUUUUGAAUGUGCUUUACCAAGACAAAUGAAAAUUCUUGUCCUACAACCUUUUCAGAGUCAUUAAAGUAGAGAAGAAGGAACUGUUUCUUCU
ensembl:lncRNA schwannomin-interacting protein 1-like